UNCUGUAGUAGUACAGACGAGUGGACUGGC
rnacentral:piRNA from 1 species